UAAGAAAAAAUUUAUUUAAUUUGUUGUAAUUAGAAUUCUUUUAAAAAAAGUAAUUUUAUUUUUAUGGGUUUUAGUAUUAUUAUUGGAAAAAAUUUGUUAGAUGAUAGUUUAUUAGUAUUGUAAAGGAAUAUUGAAGUAGUAUUAAUGAAGAUUAGUUUAUAGAAAAGUAAAUUGUUUAUUGUACCUUGUGUAUCAGGGUUUAUUAAUUUUAUAAUAUAGAUAUAUUUUUCCCGAAUUAAGAAGAGUUAAAAUAUAAAGUUAGUUAAUGUUGCAUAAUUAUUAAUAAUUGUAUAUUGGCGGUGAAAUAUUAUCGAUUCUUAGGGUAUCUGGUUUUUUAAGAGAUGAAUUUAAUUCAGUUUAACUUAGUAAUAGCUUUAAUUGACUAUUAAGGAUUUAUUAAGUUAAAAUAAUAUUAUAGGGGAUAAGCUUUAUAUUAUGGAUUAUAGGUUUUAUGAAUAUUUAUUUGGUUAUAGGCUUUAAAUUAGCUGUUAAUAGUAAAAUUGUUAUAAAUUACUAUAUUUGAUUAAAUAAUUUUAUAAAGUGUUUAAUUUGUUUAUUAAAAUAAAGUAUAUAAUUGUUAAAUAUUUAUAAUAAUGUUAAAAUUAGUAAAUUAUUAAUUUGUAUUUAGUAAUUUUGUGCUGUAAUUUAUAUUAAGGAAUUCGGCAAAAAUAAUGCUCGCCUGUUUAACAAAAACAUGUCUUCUUGUGUUUAAUUUGAAGUCGAACCUGCCCACUGAAGGAAUUUGAAGGGCCGCGGUAUUUUGACCGUGCAAAGGUAGCAUAAUCAUUAGUUUUUUAAUUGAAGGCUAGAAUGAAUGGUUUGACGAGGUAUUUACUGUCUCUAUGUAAUAUAGUUGAAUUUAUUUUUUAAGUUAAAAAACUUAAAUUUUUGUAAGGGACGAGAAGACCCUAUAGAGCUUUAUGUAAUUAUAUAUUUAUAUUUUUAGUAGUAUUUUUUUAGAUUAUAGAUUAUAUUAUGUUGGGGUGACAUGAAAAUAUAAUUAACUUUUCAUUUUUAUGGACAUUAAUUUAUGGAAAAAUGAUCCAAUAUUAGUGAUUGUAAGAUAAAGUUACCUUAGGGAUAACAGCGUAAUUCUACUUGAGAGUACAUAUCGAAAGAGGAGAUUGCGACCUCGAUGUUGGAUUAAGAAAAUGACUGGGUGCAAGAUUUUAGUUAAUAGGUCUGUUCGACCUUUAAAUUCUUACAUGAUCUGAGUUCAGACCGGCGUGAGCCAGGUCGGUUUCUAUCUUUAUUAAUUUAGAAUAUUUUAGUACGAAAGGACCAGAUAUAAUAAAUAAUUUAUUAAUAAUGGUUUAAUAGUAAUUUG
rnacentral:rRNA from 1 species